rnacentral:rRNA from 1 species
UACGGGGGGGGCAAGCGUUGUUCGGAAUUACUGGGCGUAAAGGGCUCGUAGGCGGCCAACUAAGUCAGACGUGAAAUCCCUCGGCUUAACCGGGGAACUGCGUCUGAUACUGGAUGGCUUGAAUCCGGGAGAGGGAUGCGGAAUUCCAGGUGUAGCGGUGAAAUGCGUAGAUAUCUGGAGGAACACCGAUGGCGAAGGCAGCCCCCUGGGCUAACACUGACGCUCAUGCACGAAAGCGUGGGGAGCAAACAGG